rnacentral:rRNA from 1 species
CCUACGGGCGGCAGCAGUAGGGAAUCUUUCACAAUGGGCGAAAGCCUGAUGGAGCAACGCCGCGUGCAGGAUGAAGGCCUUCGGGUUGUACACUGCUUUUAUAAGCGAGAAAUAUGAUGGUAACUUAUGAAUAAGGAUCGGCUAACUACGUGCCAGCAGCCGCGGUCAUACGUAGGAUCCGAGCAUUAUCCGGAGUGACUGGGUGUAAAGAGUUGCGUAGGUGGCAUAAUAAGUAGCUAGUGAAAUCUGGUGGCUCAACCAUUCAGACUAUUAGCUAAACUGUUAAGCUCGAGACCGUUAGGGGUAACUGGAAUUUCUAGUGUAGGAGUGAAAUCCGUAGAUAGUAGAAGGAACACCAAUAGCGUAGGCAGGUUGCUGGGACGGUUCUGACACUAAGGCACGAAAGCGUAGGGAGCAAACGGGAUUAGAUACCCCAGUAGUC